UUGACUAUUGUGUUUUUACUCGGACAUCACUAAUAAAUAGGAUUUGAUUGGCCUCCGACGGGCGCUCGCCGACCGGUAGGCCGACACGGGAUGGUACCCGAGGCCCGCCAAAGCAACAUAGGUAGGUAGACAAUGGGUGAAGAGUUGGAGGCCGAAGCCCCCGGGAGCGCGAAGCCCCUCUCUCAGUAAUGAUCCUUCCGCAGGUUCACCUACGGAAA
rnacentral:misc_RNA from 1 species